AUUGAACGCUGGCGGCAGGCUUAACACAUGCAAGUCGAGCGGAGAUGAGGUGCUUGCACCUUAUCUUAGCGGCGGACGGGUGAGUAAUGCUUAGGAAUCUGCCUAUUAGUGGGGGACAACAUUCCGAAAGGAAUGCUAAUACCGCAUACGUCCUACGGGAGAAAGCAGGGGAUCUUCGGACCUUGCGCUAAUAGAUGAGCCUAAGUCGGAUUAGCUAGUUGGUGGGGUAAAGGCCUACCAAGGCGACGAUCUGUAGCGGGUCUGAGAGGAUGAUCCGCCACACUGGGACUGAGACACGGCCCAGACUCCUACGGGGGGCAGCAGUGGGGAAUAUUGGACAAUGGGGGGAACCCUGAUCCAGCCAUGCCGCGUGUAUGAAGAAGGCCUUAUGGUUGUAAAGCACUUUAAGCGAGGAGGAGGCUACUGAGACUAAUACUCUUGGAUAGUGGACGUUACUCGCAGAAUAAGCACCGGCUAACUCUGCGCCAGCAGCCGCCGCCGUAA
rnacentral:rRNA from 1 species